ACAACUGCUCCCAACUUCCUUUUUCUCUGUAAAAUAAUAUUCUUCUCCUUGCUUGUUAGACUUGCCUACAGUUUUUGCUAUAGUAUGCUUGUCCCAGAUUGCAAUUCUCUGCUGUUCCCAAUAUACCCAUUUUACUAGUAAAUUAACAGGCCAUUUUAGUUUUUAGGACAACAUUAUUACUAGACAAUAGACUCCACAACCAGGAAAAUUACUAGGGAUAUUACACAAUGGUUAAAGGUUCAGUUCAUCAGGAAACCGUAUGCAGCUAAGCAGCAGAGCUCCAAAAUGAAGUAAAUCUAACAAACUUUAAAAUUAGAUCAUUAAUGCAUUCAUCUCAGUCAGUAUUGACUGAACAAGUAAACAGAAAAUCAGCAGGGAUAUUGCAGAUUCAAACAACAU